AAUUUCAAAAUGUUUAAAAAAUAAAUAUAACAAUUUUCUCAACAGCCGUAACUCGCUUUAAACAGCUACAAUUUGAUCUCUGAAGGAAGAGGCGCAAAAUACAAUUAACGAUUAAACGAACUUACCUAAGUGAAGUUCAAUCGUGAUUGUAUGAGCGCCUCUUCCGAAGAGAUCAGUCCCGCCCACCCAUUAAUCUCGUAUGAGAUACCCAAAAUAUAUCUGUUACGGCUUAGAAAAUAGAACUUUAAAAAAAUGAGAAUAAACAACGGAGCAGGAUAUGGGUUGCAUAGCAACCCGGGAAAAAAGCUUGCUUUAAAACUUGUGGCGACAAAUGAGGGAAGUGAGGGAGAUCGGAAGAUCGUCGUGAUAGG
rnacentral:lncRNA from 1 species